UCCUACGGGGCGCAGCAGUGGGGAAUAUUGCACAAUGGGGGAAACCCUGAUGCAGCGACGCCGCGUGAGUGAAGAAGUAUUUCGGUAUGUAAAGCUCUAUCAGCAGGGAAGAAGAAGGACGGUACCUGAGUAAGAAGCCCCGGCUAACUACGUGCCAGCAGCCGCGGUAAUACGUAGGGGGCAAGCGUUAUCCGGAUUUACUGGGUGUAAAGGGAGCGUAGACGGCGAAGAAAGUCUGAAGUGAAAGCCCGCGGC
rnacentral:rRNA from 1 species